rnacentral:pre_miRNA from 1 species
UCUUACGGAUGUGCAAAGAAAAUGGUUUCUUGAGAUGGAAUCUACUCCUGAUAAGGAUGCUGUGAA